rnacentral:rRNA from 1 species
AACGAGAGAGAAGGAGCUUGCUUCUUCGAUCGAGUGGCGAACGGGUGAGUAACGCGUGAGGAACCUGCCUCAAAGAGGGGGACAACAGUUGGAAACGACUGCUAAUACCGCAUAAGCCCACGGGUCGGCAUCGACCAGAGGGAAAAGGAGCAAUCCGCUUUGAGAUGGCCUCGCGUCCGAUUAGCUAGUUGGUGAGGUAAUGGCCCACCAAGGCGACGAUCGGUAGCCGGACUGAGAGGUUGAACGGCCACAUUGGGACUGAGACACGGCCCAGACUCCUACGGGAGGCAGCAGUGGGGAAUAUUGCACAAUGGGGGAAACCCUGAUGCAGCGACGCCGCGUGGAGGAAGAAGGUCUUCGGAUUGUAAACUCCUGUUGUUGAGGAAGAUAAUGACGGUACUCAACAAGGAAGUGACGGCUAACUACGUGCCAGCAGCCGCGGUAAAACGUAGGUCACAAGCGUUGUCCGGAAUUACUGGGUGUAAAGGGAGCGCAGGCGGGAAGACAAGUUGGAAGUGAAAUCCAUGGGCUCAACCCAUGAACUGCUUUCAAAACUGUUUUUCUUGAGUAGUGCAGAGGUAGGCGGAAUUCCCGGUGUAGCGG